AGAGGGUGCAAACGUUGCUCGGGAUUUACUGGGGCGUAAAGCGCGUGUAGGCGGACUCGCAAGUCGGUUGUGAAAUCCCUGGGGCUCAACCUAGGAACUGCAUCCGAAACUGCUUGUCUUGAGUAAUGGAGAGGGUGGCGGAAUUCCCGGUGUAGAGGUGAAAUUCGUAGAUAUCGGGAGGAACAUCAGUGGCGAAGGCGGCCACCUGGACAUUUACUGACGCUGAGACGCGAAAGCGUGGGGAGCAAACAGGAUUAGAUACCCUGGUAGUCCACGCCGUAAACGAUGAGAACUAGGUGCAGCGGAUAUUGACCUCUGCUGUGCCGUAGCUAACGCGUUAAGUUCUCCGCCUGGGGAGUACGGCCGCAAAGGCUA
rnacentral:rRNA from 1 species